AGUGGUGUGGAUGCCAAUUGUGGCGCUUGGACCCGGGCCUGGUACUGCAAUCUGCGGCCCGCCCGUUCCAAGUUGGUAGUUGGGUUGUGACCGCUUUGGCGAAGGCCAUGGCGUCCCAACCUCUAGAGCGGCGGGCAAUGCGUGAGGCUGGUUUCACAGAGCAGCGAAUACCAUCCGCUUCCAACGGUGGAAGGAUAACGGGCCACUGCACUCCAGGCCCACCUAGGCUCAAGCACUCUUUCUGGCAGACCACCAUUUUUGUUUUUUGGCUUGUCUUGCACACCUACUCGUUUGCCACUGCAACCCAUUUGUCCAACCUGCAGCGUCUAGCAACAACCAUCAUCAAUCGAUUAUGUAGCCGAUUUGAGCCUCUAGGCACUGGUCCUCUGGACGUUCGAUACAUUCCACAUGUAACAUGUUCUUGCCAUUUUGUACAUACUAGUGUGUUCUGGUUGAGUUUACAGUAUCUGUAGUAAGCCAAUUCUUUUGGAUCAAAAGCCAUUAAACGCUCUAGAAGAUGAAGAGCCAAAGGAUAGGAACUUGUAAAGCUCAAGUAUCUACUGUCCUCAUUUUGAAUCUACAGAUAUCUUAGACAACAUCAUGGGGCAGAUGGGGAGGGAAACACACCUAACAACAGUGCUUGGCUCCAUGCCCACACAUCGGCAGCAUGGCACGAGUGGGGAAGAAAUCGGGGCUCCGGUCCGGUCAUGCGUUGCUAAGGGGGGUAGGUAUUUUAGCGUCAUAGUGUACCAACCUGCCUGGUAGCUCGCAUUCCUCAUGGCGGCUGUCGCGGGCCUCCACAUUUGUUGCCCCGGUAUGGGAGGAUGGGUGAAGGCGGCACACAGAGAGGUACGUGAUGGGCAGAAUGGCGCUGAGGACGUCGCACGUGGUCCCCUCGAAUCCCUCGGACGGACGACAACAUUUGAGGAGAGCAAGUGAGGUGGGGCCUGGGGGGUGGCGGGUGACGACGUUUGAGCGGCGUGGAGAUGGAAGCCGCGUACCUGGACUGCGGGAUCACGAUUCAAAAGCGCUGGCGGCUGUCGCUGGAGCCGGGGGAGGGGGGAGGGGGCAGGACACGACGCCAGGAGCCCCUCACAGAGCGUGAGCUAGAGGAAGAGAGACGGAGGAUGAAGAGAGAAAGCGAGGGCAAGCGAGGAGAGCAGCCUGGAAAUCUCUAAAGGCGAUAAAAACCACGGGCGCACGAGAGAGAAUGCGGGGAAAAUGAACCAACGAUCCACAAUCGAACGACUAAGAAUUUUUUGGGUGACGUAGAUGGGCUCAUAGGUGUCGUUUCCAUCAGGCUUUAAUAAUAAGGAAAUACAACCGAACAAGUUGGUUUACGAUCAGGGACCGACCAUUACAAUCGUAGGCAUCUCCUCUUGGCUAUAUAACCGGAGCACCCCCUCCUCAUCCAUCUUGUGCCAACGCCAAGGAGCCAAAUGUCGCAAUGACCCAAGGAUUUGAGAGUGCCACCGUGAACCGAGUGCCGAACGAGAGGGAGAGAAGGUCCACGCCACAGUUUCGGAUCUACAUUGUCUCUCGGGUGGUGUGCGUGGCUAGCCUAGACGGGAGGAGUGGUCGGAGAGCAAGAAGAGUCGUCACUAGAGUCACAAAUAGAGGUUCCUACUUUUCAUCCCUAACUUCCCUAACCUAGGUUAGUUCUACCGCCGGCCCAUUAACCGCUGAUGUCUGCACAACCGAUCUCACAUCCCUCGCGUGUUAGCACCGGUGCAACCAAUAGGCGGGCCCCACUGGUUGGACUCUCAGUCGCGCGGAUGUCUCUAAUCAGUCACUGGAGGGUGGGCCAGCUCGCUCAGUAACGGCCUCACACGCAGCACGCGGGUCACAGCCUAUCGGACGCUUCUCUCUCCCGUUGUUCAAGGACAUGUAUAAAUACAUAUGUAUUGAGCUAUAAAGAUUACACAUGGUUCACAUUUUCACUUUCACCAGUUUACUUUCACUAGUUUACUUUCACACGUCAUCGGCACUUGCUUAAACCAAAUAGGAGAAAAGGCCAAAGAGGACAACCAGGAAGAACAAGGCAAGAACACCGGCAACUAUCGGGUACGUGAUGAUCUACAAAGAUCUUUAUGUUGCCCUUCUUACCUUCAUCCUUCGAUUUUUGAACGGUGGCCAUCGUCGCCGGCGAGGUGCUGACCCUGUCGCACGUCGCCUUCUAUGUGUUGCGCAUCGACAUGGAUGCCGCCAUGUCAAGAAGCGCCGCAAGAAGGACGCCCGGACCACACUUGACCCUGAGCAUGUCCGCCGGACCGGUGGUGAUCCUGGCGCUGGACCCAGCAACACUGCAGCAAUUGCGGCAUCGCCGCAGCCAGCGCCACGUCAAGACCGAUGGGUGCGUCCUCCAUCGCCUUCGCUGGAGCGGGUUGCAGAGCGGUUGCGUGAGUCUGAGACCCAACAACCGCUCCAUCCGAUGUGGUACUGUCCCCCUCCAUGGAUGGGGGUUGUGCCCUGCUCGCUAACCAUGAGCUUCUCCACCGGAUGCAAACACCCCCGCUACCGGUGUUUGAUCGAGCGGGCUGCUCGUCCAGGUCGCCUCUCCAGCGCGCCCUCAUGCCCGGACACGGCUCACUACACGAAAGUCGGCCGGCCCUCGCGGUCGUCCCGUCGGGCAGAUCGCAUCAACGACUGUGGCAAACGUCGUUGUCGAUGACUCCUCUUCUUCAUCUGACGAAGACAAGCAGAUGCACUUGAUCCUCGACGGAGUACCGGCGAGGCUGCCUAGCCCGACCCUCGACGUCGGCCCCUCGGGAACGACGUCACCGCCGACACUCUUGAGCCCAAGUGGCAAUCGGGUCAUCCAUCGGCUGGCACACCACCUCUCCCCUCGGCCUCGCGUACCGGGGUCAUGGUCUGCAACUGCAAGAUCGUCGGACGACAACAUUGGGCACGAGCGCUCAUGCUCGCCCCCUCGCCAUCUUCCCUUAUGUGCGGGCUCGAUGUCCGGCUUUGGCACGGCAAGGCCACGACGCGUUCGGCCACGGCGCGCUUGGGUCCUGCGUGGCGGACGCGGCCCCGGUGCGGCUUUCCCCGGCCACGGCGGCUUCAGGAGCAGGUCCAAGGUGGCUACCGGCUACCAGUUGGAGCCACGGGCGCUCGACGGCUGGCGGCGGCCCAUGGCGGCGGCUGUUGGCGGCGGUUAGGGUUUGACCCUUUAGAAAAACCACGCACGCCUCAGGCUAGCCAGCAGGCCCAUGUGCCAGCACGCCUCAGCUUGGGCCAGCCAGCAGGCCCAUGUACCAGCACGCCUACGCCAUAGUUAUCCAUUUUCAUUUUUAUUUUAGCUAUUUUCAGUUUUCUAAAUCCAAGCGAACUCUAGAUUGCUUUAGUUAAUGAUGUUAGAAAUUUGAGAUUCGAUUCUUAAAAUUCUUCAGUAGCAGCUUGUGUCAGGCAUUUUUCCAAUGUUUUAGUACUUGGAAAUGAUUUCAAUAAAUAUUUUCUUUAAAUAUGAUAUUUAUUGUCAUGUGUUCUAUUAUGCAUUCCUUAAAAUGCAAACUAAAAAACAUAUUCAUUUCAAUUAUACCCAUAGUGGUUUAAUCCGAGCAGAAUUAAUUUUUUGAUAGAACAUAAAGAAUAAUCAAUAUUCAUCUCAAUUAAGUUAUUCAAAACUUAAUACUAGCAAGAAUAUGUAUUUAUUCGAUUCCGUACGCAAUUGAUGCUACCCAUAUAUUCAUCUUAUUAAGUUACUAAUAGUACUUAAUUUCAUCUGAAAAUUUUAUAUUAGAUAUACUACAUCAUUAACAUCAUAAUGAAAUUUUCGAUCUCUUGCAUCACUUUGCAAUUGAGACCUUAAACUAUGAUUCAUCUAUGCAAUAUCGCAUUAUAUUGCAUAUUAUUCAUCUCAAUUGGGUUUUCUCUAAAAUCCAAUACGAGCAAGAAUACAUAUAUGUUUUGAACACCACACAUAUUACAACACACCCAUGAUGAUUUAUUAAUGAAAUUCUCUGGUUGCUUGUGUAGGAUCAUGGCCCGCGAGUUCAAAGAACUUGCUCUUGAUGGACACAACUAUCCUACUUGGGCGUUGGAUAUCAAGAUUAGCUUAGCCUCAAAGAAUAUUCUGAGUGCAUUACUCCCUCCCAACGAGAGGGUUGAACCACUACAUGAUGCUUAUAAGUACAACACUUUGUACAUUAUAAGACAUCACCUCCAUCCUGAUCUACUUCAGGCAGAAAAUCAUGAUGAGCGUAUGAUAAAAAAAAAAUCAUAAGCAAUGUCGUGUUGGAGCUGCUCCUAUGCCAGAAAACCAGCCCAAGAACUCUGAUAAUUCAAAGAAGCGCAAACGCAACAAGCAUACGAAUAAGCAAAAUACAAAGGCUCCGAGGAAAGACACCCCCACUUCCAAGCAAGAGAAAUGUAAGAAGUGUGGAUGCUUGAACCAUCCUACUAAAAAGUGUUUCAUUCCUUGUCAUUUAGUGGCACUGUACCAGCAAUCUCUUAAGGGAAAAAAUGUUGAAGGACAGGGAUAUGAAGCUCACUUCACCACCCCACCUAACUUGAAGGAUGGAGCUGGUUGCUCAAGCAUGGCUACAAUGGAACCAAGCACGACCAACCCUCCGCUUCUAACCAACACCGAAUACAUGAACUUGGACAAUGCCAUCAUCGAAUAUGCUUCGAGUGAUGUGUUUGGAUACCUUUACUAGGAUCCUCAUGCUUCUACCAGAUAUCAUCUAUUUGUAAGUCUAUGAGUGUGUACAACAAGUGUGUUGUAAUAAGUACCUAGACCUUGGAAUUUGUGUGUAUAUUCCAUACUCUACUGUAUAAUUAUGUAUGUACUUAUAUGUAUAAUGAAGUGUCCCAAUCCUCUGGGACUCAAAUGUGAUGCAAUUACUAGUCCCAGGAGGCUAGUAAACACAUUUAUAUAUCAGAUGAUUCCAGAUCUGCUUAAACAAGACAAACCUAUAAAGGUGGCGAUCAACUUUAAGAGUUGGUCCACAACUCGGGAUAUAUCAUCAGAGUGGGGCUAAAGCAGCCUGAUAUACGCAGCGAAGCAAAUCAGCGGUCCAACAGCCACAUGCAAGGCUGGGAACAGGCGUAACUCUUACCCGAUCAGCGAUCUCGUUCUCUGAAAAACAACAAAUAAGCAAGAGUGAGUACUUACGUACCCAACAGCCCACCUUCCCCCACGGAAUGGAGAAAUCAGAUAUAAUGCAUGGAGUAUGUGGAGCUCAGGAUAUUUUGCAGAAAGAGCAAUAUUUGAUGCAGGGUUAUUUUGUAAAACAUUUUAUAUUUUUCAAAGCACGUCUUCUCCCAAAGGAGCAGGAAGUUUUUCAAUAUAGAACAAAAUCCCCUGGACUAAACCAUCCAGGUAUCUCAGUAGUUUCCCACUGGUUUUCAUUUUCAAAAAUAGCUACUGGACUUCCCGUCCACCAUAGCUCACGGCUCAACCGUCGGAACUUUUAAAAACCACUUUUCAAAAGCAUUUUUGGAAAACAAAACACUAAUUGUCAAAUCCAUGCCAUAACUCAUUCAUAUCCGUGGACGCGGACUAUUUGAAUAGGUUUUUAACUCUGCGCAGAGGUGUACACUUUACCCACUAGUCCGGUUUCUGCAAUCUCACUGUUGUGAGAUCCAAAUGCUGAAACUCUCUCCUUCCUUGCACGUCCAUACCUUAGCGAUUAUACCGGAAGGAACAAGGCCACCGCCAUGUCCAAACCGGACAAAACAUUCCCCUUUCUUAUCCUCCCGGUGCUGCCCAGCCAUCAUAACCCUGGGGUUCGGACCAUGCAAGUUCAGAUCAAGCGACUGCCCAUACAGUAUCGAGUGGUUAUACUUGAUAAGAGUAUAGGUAAGCAGUGAUGACAAACCGGUCCUCAGGCGAGAGGGGCAAUCCUUCAUGCUCACACCUAACCUGGCUGAGCCAUCACCUUAGGCCCUCCCCUAAACCAGGGAGUCUCUGAUCAUCCCGCUCAAGGGUGAUAAGGGUGACAACCCUUCAUCAUAUCCAUUUUGAAAAACAUUUUCUUUUGAAAACUCACACCUUUUCUCAAAUCAUUUGUAACAAAAAUAUCAAGGAGUAUAAAGAUUAAUUGCGGCAAAGUUCUAAGGCAGGGUGGCCAUAAUAACUUGUCUCUUAGCAGCAAAAUCAUAUCAUGCAUAAAAUAACAGGCUGAGGGUUGUGGUUGAAAAGCAUAGGUAAUUUAUGCAUCAAAGGGAUCCAGUGAGCUUGUAGUGCUUAACCGGCGAAAGGGUGAGAGCUCGUGGAACUGGCUUUUGGCUCCACCGUUUGUCGUAGGCUUACAGAUCUGGCCUUCACGAGACAGCACAAACGCUCCAAUAACUAUGCAGCAUGAACAAGAAAACAUACAAACCAACAAGUAUAUCAACAAAUAUUUAGUAUAGUGGUCAGAAUGGCAAUAUAUGGAUGGGUAGAGUCUUGAGCAGAAUCUAUGUCAUGUGGUGUUGUGAUAUUACUGGUGGUGGAGUGGAGGUGCUUACCAGGAGGGUGGAUUGGAGGCGAAGCGACACUAUGCGUGCAGCCGGCAGAGCGGAGUAACUGAGUGGGUGGGGUGUUUGCCUUGGCUGAGGGUGUUGAGUGUGUGGAGAGGGAGAGGGUAAGUGGGUCUAUUUAUAGCUGGGUGUAUAUGGUGUAGUAUAGUAAAUUUCACUGUUGGUGAGAAUAGUGACGAAUGAAUCGUCUGAGUUAGUCUGAACAGAAAAAUUAUAGGGAGAAUAUGGGACAAGAGUAUUUUGAGAGUUUUCUAGAAUAUGAACCAUGCUUAAGGGAUGACAUGGUUGGAUAGGGAAUAAUUUGAUAAGAAUUUAGAAACAAGAAUUAUUGGAAUCUGAGUUUGGAAGCCUGGUUCGAAAGAAUCUCAAAGUUAAGCGUGCUCAACUUAGAGAAAUCUGGGAUGGGUGACCAGAUGGAAAGUUCUUACUAGAAGGAAAAUCACAGUCACCGGAGUUUGUAUGACUGGAAUAUUGGUUUGGCGGGUCUUAGGUGAGCUGGACAACAUGAUGGAUGAGCAGUUGAAUAUUUGGGUGAUAGGAUGGGCGAUGAAUAGUGACGAUGAAUAGUAAGGAAGAAAUAGUAACAAUGAGCAGUAAUGAAGAUAUAGUAACAAUGAAUAGUAACGAUGAAUAGUCCAUAUGAACGGACGAUGAACGAUGAAUAGUGACUAUGAACGAAUGACGAACGAUGAAUAGGGACUACGAACGAACGAUGAAUAGGGACUAUAAACGAACGAUGAAUAGGGACUAUGAACGAACGAUGAAUAGGGACUAUGAACGAUGAAUAUUGACUAUGAACGAACGGACGAAUGAUCGAAUGAUCGGACGAACGAACGAUCGGAAUUUCGGCAGCAUAACGGCUGAACAAAGAUUAUUUGGAUGAACGAAUGGAUGAACGAUCGAUCGAACAAACGAACGAACCAUGAACGAUCGGACGAACGAACGAACAAACUAAGAACAGGUGGACGAACGAUCGAACGAUCCUUGUGCUUGUGUGGGAGUGGGAGUGGGAAUGGGGGGAGAGUUGCCAUGAAAUGGCUUGGUAUGGCUUGAGGGGAGGCCCUUGCCCCUCUAUUUAUAGGCUAGGUGGGGGAUGAGGGGGAGGAGGCGAGAAUUAGUGGGAGGAUGCGAGGAUUAGUGGGAGAUAAGCAUGUAUUAGGCAUGUAUAAGUGAAAUUAGCUUGUAGAGCUCACCGUAUGGCACCGGAGGCGUACGUAUAUGUAUGAGCAUGAGGAAAAUUAUGAAGAAAAUAUUUGCAUGGACUGUAAAAAUGAUUCUGAAGGUAUUUCUCAGGAGGAAAAUAUUUGGAGAACUUUCGGUGGAAUAUUUGGCAGUAUUUCUAGAAAGAAUUUGAGGGGGAUCACUCGGGAAAUAUUUGUAGAAUAUUUUGAGGAGGAUUUUGGAGAGAAUAUAGACCACUAUUUUUUAUUUGUUGAUAUCAACUCGCAAACAAACAUUUUGAAAUGAAAUUUAAAAUUCAUUUUGAAUUUAGAGCAAGUUUGAGAAAUUUUAAGAUUUGAAUUUUUGGGUGCUACAUAUAAUUAAUUGAGUUCUCGCAAUUCUUGAUUAUAUAGAUUAUGCGGAAGUCAAUCCAAUGGAGGAAGAAUUAUGCCUUGUAGAUAGUGGUACCACCAACUCUAUUCUUCGCGAAACAAAAUUAUUCCAAACUCUCACAAGGAGGCCAGGAAAUGUUUUGGCAAUCGCUGGGCGCGAUGCGAAAAUAGUUGGCUCUGAACGAGCGACUAUUACACUCCCUAUGGGUACACAAGUCACUAUCGAGUAUGCUUUAUUGUACCCCGAUUCAACUUGUACCCUUCUGAGUUUUCGAUAUAUUCAGAAAAGUGGUUUACAUAUUUCUACUCAUACAGAAAAUAAUGAGAAAUUUCUCGUCAUUUCCAAACCUUCUGAAUAUGGCACUAACAUUCUGGAAAGAAUACCUUCACUACCAUCCGGAUUGUACUACACAUACAUAAAACUAGUACCUCAUGUUACGUACAAAGUGAUUUUUCAGAAUGUCGAUUCAUUCAAGUCCUAACAUGCACGUCUUGGUCACCCUGGAAUAGAGAUGAUGCAGAAAAUCACAGGUAAUUGCAUUAUUCAUGAUUUAAAGUGUGCUAAAUUCCCUAAACCAUUUGAUUUUAUAUGUACAUCAUGUGCAACGGGAAAGCUAAUCUUAAGACCAUCUCCUCUUGAGAUUCAUGCUGAACCACUCAAGUUCCUUGAACGAAUUCAAGGUGACAUUUGUGGACCCAUACAACCAUUAUCUGGACCGUUUAGAUACUUCAUGGUAUUAAUAGACGCAUCUACACGAUGGUCACAUGUGUGCCUUCUGUCUACACGUAACCAUGCUUUUGCUAAAAUCAUGACGCAAGUCAUUCGAUUGAAAGCACAUUAUCCUGAACAUCAAAUCCAGAAAAUCCGCCUAGAUAAUGUGGCUGAAUUCUCUUCUAAAGCAUUCAAUGAUUAUAGUAUGGCCCAGGGAAUACACAUUGAACAUUAUGUGCCUUAUGUACAUACUCAAAAUGGUUUAGCUAAAUCUCUUAUUAAGAGGAUCAAACUCAUCGCAAGACCUUUACUUCAUGAAUGCAAUUUACCUACUUCUUGUUGGGGUCAUGCCGUUUUACACGCUGCUGAUCUUAUUCAACUUCACCCAACUGCAUAUCAUACCACAUCCCCGUUGCACCUAGUACGAGGAAAUCCUCCAAAUAUAUCCCAUCAAUGGAAAUUUGGAUGUGUGGGUUACACCCCUGUAUCACCGCCUCAGCGAACAACUAUGGGACCUCAUAGGAAAUUAGGCAUCUAUGUGGGAUAUCAAUCCCCAUCGGUCAUCAAAUACCUAGAGCCCCUUACAGGGGAAUUGUACACAGUUGUACACAGCUCAUUUCGCUGAUUGCAUCUUUAACGAGGACCAUUUCCUGGCAUUAGGGGGAGAAUUCAAGUAUCCUAAUGAAUGCCAGGAAAUGAAUUGGGAUGACAAAUCCAUCUUGUCCUCAGAUCCUCAACCCAGGAAUCUGAACUUCAAGUUCAGAAAAUUAUAGAAUUGCAACGUUGUGCUAAUAAUAUGCCUGAUGCAUUUACUAACUAUAAUGGUGUCACAAAAUCCUUGAAUCCUGUUGUUAAUGCGCCUAGUCGAGUGGAGGUACCAAGAAAAACCAUUCAACCAUCUUGAAAGUCGCCUAGAGGGGGGGUGAAUAGGGCGAAACUGAAAUUUACAAAGUUAAUCACAACUACAAGCCGGGUUAGCGUUAGAAAUAUAAUCGAGUCCGCGAGAGAGGGUGGAAAACAAAUCGCAAGCAAAUAAGAAGUGUGACACGCGGAUUUGUUUUACCGAGGUUCGGUUCUCGCAAACCUACUCCCCGUUGAGGAGGCCACAAAGGCCGGGUCUUUUUCAACCCCUUCCCUCUCUCAAACGGUCCCUCGGACCGAGUGAGCUUUCUCUUCUCAAAUCAACCGGGAACAAAACUUCCCCGCAAGGACCACCACACAAUUGGUGUCUCUUGCCUUGGUUACAAGUGAGUAUUGAUCUCAAGAAAGAAUGAGAAAGAAGAAAGCAAUCCAAGCGCAAGAGCUCAAAAGAACACAACAAAUCUCUCUCACUUAACACUAAAGCUUUUGUGGAAUUGGGAGAGGAUUUGAUCACUUUGGUGUGUCUUGUAUUGAAUGCCUAGCUCUUGUAAGUAGUUGGAAGGUGGAAAACUUGGAUGACUUGAAUGUGGGGUGGUUGGGGGUAUUUAUAACCCAACCACCAAACUAGCCGUUUGGUGGAGGCUGUCUGUCGCAUGGUGCACCGGACAGUCCGGUGCACACCAGACAGUGUCUGGUGCGCCAGCCACGUCACCAGGCCAUUGGGUUCCGACCGUUGGAGCUCUGACUGCUGGGCCCGCCUGGAUGUCCGGUGGCACACCGGACAUGUACUGUAGAGUGUCCGGUGCGCCACUUCGCGCGUGCCUGACUUCUGCGCGCUCUGGCGCGCAUUAAUUGCUGUUGCAGGUGACCGUUGGCGCGAAGUAGUCGUUGCUCCGCUGGCUCACCGGACAGUCCGGUGUACACCGGACAUGUCCGGUGAAUUAUAGCGGAGCGAAUUCCCGAAGCUGGCGAGUUCAGAGCCGCUCUCCUCUGGAGCACCACACACUGUCCGGUGUACACCGGACAGUCCGGUGAAUUAUAGCGAAGUGCCUCUGAGAAUUUCCGAAGGUGAAGAGUUUGGCUUGGAGUUCCCUGGUGCACCGGACACUGUCCGGUGGCACACCGGACAGUCCGGUGCGCCCGACCAGGGCAGCCUUCGGUUAUCCCUUGCUCUCUUUGUUGAACCCAAUUCUUGGUCUUUUUAUUGGCUAAGUGUGAACCUUUGGCACCUGUAUAACUUAUACACUUAGAGCAAACUAGUUAGUCCAAUUAUUUGUGUUGGGCAAUUCAAUCACCAAAAUCAUUUAGGAAAUAGGUGUAAGCCUAAUUCUCUUUCAUAUCUUCUCAACCGAAGAGGGGGAGGGCUGCUAAGCAGGAUAAUGCUUCUACUAAGCAUCAAAGGAAAGAGAGGAACAUACGAUCCUCCAAAUCAGUAAAUGAAAGUCAACCACCAGUUGAUGGACACCGAGUGGAUACUAUACAUCCACAAACCAGCACUCAUGUGCACAAUUCAGAUGUUGUUGGUACAUCGGAGCACCCUGUAUCUACUCUUCCUGUGAAUCAAGAAGACUUUCAUGGGGUAUAGGAGAUUUCCAUUAAUUAUACUAGUUCUGGAGAAUUGUAUGAUCGUAAAAAUACGGUCGUCAAUUCAUGUUUCUCAUCAAUCAUAGCUGGUAACCUUCUAUCUGACCCAGAUCCUAAAUCCAUGGCAGAGUGUCAACAAUGCUCAGACUAGACCAAAUGGAAGGAAGCAAUUAACUCUGAAUUAUCCUCACUAGCAAAAAGAAAGGUAUUCACCUCUGUGAUACCUACACCUCCCAAAAUCCAUCCUGUUGGAUUCAAAUGGGUUUUCACUCGGAAAUGGAAUGAGAACAAUGAGGUUGUGAGAUAUAAAGCGAGAUUAGUUGCUCAAGGGUUUACCGAGAGACCUGGCAUUGACUACAAUGAGACAUUCUCCUAUUAUGAAUGGAAUAACCUUCCAGUAUUUAAUUUCAUUGGCAGUACAAAAAUGUCUACUUCUGCAGUUGAUGGACGUCGUGACCGCCUAUCUUAAUGGGUCACUAGAUUCGGACAUAUACAUGAAAGUUCUUGAUGGAAUACCGGUACCGAAUAAUGGCAAAAAUCGUAACAUGUUUUGUGUUAAACUCACCAAAUCUCUAUAUGGCUUAAAAUAGUCAGGGAGAAUGUGGUACAACCGACUGAAGGAAUUCCUUAUGAAUAAUGGUUAUUCUAACAGUGAUAAUUGCUCAUGUGUCUUCAUAAAGAAAUCUUCUACAUGUUUCUACAUCAUAUCAGUAUAUGUGGAUGACUCGAACAUCAUCAGCCAUAAAGUGAUAUUGAUGAGGCACACAAUCUUUUAAAGACGAAAUUCGAGAUGAAGGAUUUGGGUAAAACCAAAUUUUGCUUAGGUUUGCAACUUGAGCACCUUCCCACGGGCAUUCUCAUUCAUCAGUCUACUUAUGCCUAGAAAGUAUUAAGUAAAUUCAAUAUGGAUAAAGCAUAUCCGUCUAAGACUCCAAUGAUCGACCGUACCCUAGAAAGGGUCAAAGGGAUAAGGAUCUUUUUCGACCACGAGAUGAAGGAGAAGAGAUUUUGGGUCAUGAGUACCCAUAUCUUAGUGCAAUUCGAGCACUUAUGUAUCUAGCAAACAAUACAAGACCCGAUAUUGCUUUUGCGGUAAAUUUACUUGCUAGACAUAGUGCAUCCCCUACCAAACAUCAUUGGACUGGAAUAAAAAAUGUUCUUCAAUACCUCCAUGGCACGGCAGAUCAUGAUCUAUUCUACGGAAGAAAUCAUGAUCCUAGCCUCGUAGGGUACAUAGAUGUUGUUUAUCUUUCAGACCCCCAUAAUGGAAGGUCUCAAACUGGGUUUGUAUUUCUAAAUGGUGGAACUGCUAUUUCUUGCAAGUCAUCCAAGCAAACUCUAGUAACAACAUCCACUAACCACUCAGAGAUUAUUGCCUUGUAUGAAGCUUCACGUGAAUGUGUCUGGCUUCGAAGGGUGAUUAAUCACAUUCAAUCAUCAUGUGGGAUUCAUUCCAUUGAAUCAAACACCCUUAUCUAUGAAUAUAAUGUAGCUUGUGUUGCUCAGAUGCAACAAGGUUAUAUCAAGUGCAAUAUUACCAAACAUAUCUCUCCCAAGUUAUUCUAUCCUCAUCAAGUUCAAUAGAGUGGUGAGAUUAAGGUCAUGCAAACUAAGUCUUGUGACAAUCUCGCAUAAUUAUUCACUAAGUCGCUACCUUAUUCCACAUUUCGGAUAUGUGUUAAGGGUAUUAGUAUGCGUCGACUUAGAGAUUUGCUUGCAUCAGGGGGGAGUGUCUCUUUGAUCAACCUAAUACUAACAUCACAUUGUACUCUUUUCCUAUAUGAGUUUUACUAUCAUGUUUUCUCAUGUUAGGUUUUUAAUGAGUCAAUGUCAACACAAGCAUAUGUCGGUCUCUUGAUUUUUCCCAUCAGGUUUUUCGAUAGAGACACCAAAGACAUAACAUAUACUGUUGAUUUUCACCAAAUUUUUCCCACUGGGUUUUUCUGGAGUGUUACACGGUAUAUUAUUGCAAACCACCUUUUACUCACAGGUUUUAAGGGAGAAUAUACAUAAUGGACAACUGCUUAAGGGGGAGUGUUAUGAAAGAUAAGCAGUUGCUUAUUGCUCCCAGCCGUGGACUCCAAGGGACGUGCCCCUUGCAUGUUCUCUUCAUGGUGACGAGUGUGACCCCACAAAGGAAUAGACGGCACAUGGUCUGCAUGGCUCCAAGGGACGUGCCCCUAGCACGUUCGCACAUAUGCUUUCUCUGGUGUAUGGGCAAAGGGUCACAUCCUAUCGGACAUUUCAAUUUCUGGAAUAUUAUUUUGAGUAUUCAGAUCUGAAUCCAAAGUUCUGAUUUUUUACUGUUUAUAGGCGCAAGCUUGUCGAGCUCAUUGACAAGCUUGAUGAAGGUACAAUAAAUUGGACAGAGUUUGCAAGUGAGGUGAAGAUGCACCAUGGAAACAGGCUUGGAGGUCCGUAUCAGAGGUUGUCUGGUCGAAGUCUGAGGCAUGAGGCGUAUUUUUAUGCAAAUCCUCUUCCAGGGUGCUUGUGCAGAAGAAACACACAGGAUCAAGUGGCAUGAACCUUACAUACGAAUAGACAGUUAUCAUACAUUGAGCUUUCCUUCAACUCAUUGACAUACACCAAACAGUGAAAAUCCGAGUAGACUGACAGCAAAAGGACAUGCUUUUUUCUUCCUAUAAACAGAUAAAAUUUAUGUAGUUUUCCAUCUUACACGAGGAUACAGGAGGGAACACUCACUGAAAUGUGCAUUUUCAAGGGAUUGUUUAUUCAGGUUUUAAAAUAGAACAUGCAAAGAUAUUCAAAGAGGAUAUGUGUUGUACCACAGAUUAUAGAAUUAGCAGAUUUGAUGAGUUUUUAGUGUAUGUUUGUAUUUACUCCAUAGUCCACAUGUAGAGCCUCUCAUGUGGGAGAUUCUUGUGGGAGCCUCUGUCACUUGGUUUGUCCUCCAGAUGUACAACCUUAAAUCUAAAAUUUAACUUUAUUCAUUUUAUUAUGCACAAUAAUCAUUAGUUGUAGCGGUAGUACUAUGGCCAGUUUCUCUUGUGAGGUGAGGUGAGGUGUUUCUCUUGUAUUCAUAGGCUCAUCCCUUGACACCUCUAUGAUAUCAACCUCUUUCCAUGCCGUGUUUAUCACCUCCUUUAUUUUAUCUCUGGAAGCCCACAAUGGCAAUGCCAAAUUGAGAUCGAAGAACACUUUGAUUCCAAAUUUCUUGGACAGCUCAAUGUCUCUGAAGAGUUUGUCAUGCAUUAAGGGGGUUUAACAGGACUUCUGAAUUGAAUUGAAACAUUCUAGCAUGUGUAAUUGCCACAGAGAUUAGACCUGAAUAAAGGGGAAAAUGUUUUUUGUUGCCAGCGUGUCAACCCGAACGGUGGAUUCUGCUAAAAAUGCUUACUUGAAACAGUUUGGAAGAUGAUCUCACCACGAUUGUGAAAGAUAUAGUGAUUGUGAAAUAUACUUGAUGGACUGUUCGUUGCUGUUUUCCGGUUUCUUUUUUUUAUCUCUCUGAUAUCAGUCUCACACCUCUGUAGUUCAAUUGGGGACGGAAAGUUCAUAACGAGUAGUAGUUUUAAAGCAACCUCUCACUAGGAUCAACUCGGGUGUUUGCAUCAGUAAUCCAGAAAUAUUUUAUCUUGAUAACCGAGCUGAGGCUCAGCCUACCCACCCUCAUUCAAUGGUGUGACUCAUCUUAAGAUUAUUCAUAAAACUCUCCAAUACAUUUUAAAAAAAUACCUCAGUAUUUAUUAUGCAAUGAAAAAAAAUCUUCAGAUUAGUUCUUAAUGUUUGAAAUUAUCAUGCAAUUCCUAAUCCUAAGUUCCUAAAUUUACUAAUGCAAUUCCUAAUCCUAAGUUCCUAAAUUUACUAAUGCAAUUCCUAAUCCUAAGUUCCUAAAUUUACUAACGCAAUUCCUAAUUAACAUCAUAGCUAACUAAUGCUGGUACGCAGACGCAGCAGCUCAUGCAACCAAGCCGACAUACUCGAGCUCCACGGAGCCUAACCAGAGCUUGCCCUUCAUCUCCGCCACGUCGCUCAGCGUGACGCCCUUGGCCGCCGUGAGCUCCUCGACCUCCGCCCCGUCAGCGUUCAGGCGGACGCCCACCAGGUGCUUCACGGGAGCCGUCGCCGGCGUCGCGUCCAGCCGCUGCUUCUCCUGGUUCAGCGCCACCCAGUAGCCACCCUUGCCGUCCCGCCUCACGUUGUCGGGGUACCCCGGCAGGUCGGCCAGCAGGUCGUACUGCCCCGCCCUGGCGCCGCUGAGAAAGUACCUGAACGCCUGGCAGGGCACGGUGUGCGCGACCACGACGUGUGCCCCGUCGCGGCUGACCGCCACGCCGUUCGGGUACGGCAGGCCGGCCUUCAGCACGGCGACGCUCUUGGUCCGCGCGUCGUACCUGAGGAGCCGGCCCGUCGCGUCCGCGUUCAUCAUGAUCUCGGUGUUAAACCUCCUGGGAUACGUCGCGCUGGAGUCGGUGAAGUAGACGUCUCCGGUGGACUGGUCGACGUCGAGACCGUUGAUGAAGUGGAACGGGGCGCCGCCCGCGCCGGUCGCGAGCACCUCGGCCUCGCCGCCGCCCGGGCCGACCCUCAUGAGCCCCAGGUAGGCGUCGGCGAUGUAGAGGUCGCCGGUCUUGGUGUGGAACUGGAGGCCCAGCGGGCGGCCGCACAUGCUCUCGGUCUCCUCCGACGGCACCACUCCCGCCGUGCACAGGGGUAUCUUGCGGUAGUUUACGCUGUGCGCGAACGUAGUCCAGCCGACGGUUGUGCCGCCCCACUUGAGGACGCGGCCGUCCGAGACACCGGCGUAGGGCCCCUCGCCCUUGCCGUCGAAGGCGAGGCUCUCGGCGCCGCGGAGGCCGCUUGGUAAAGGAAGCUGGAAGCUCCAGCGCGUGUCGGUGGUCUUGAUCUGUGCGGCGGCACACGGCCGGGCGAAAAGGGCUAGGGCUAGCACGACCAAGGCGAGGAGCCACGUCGCUAGAUUGCUCCGACGCCCCAUGCUGCUAGCUAUAUCUUCCUCGCGAUCUUUCUAAUGUGCGAGAUGGAACCUGCAGCCCCUACCUUUGGAUGGAGAACAACCCUCCAUAUGGCAUUACAUAUAUAUAGUGCCGGCUCAAGGGAUUCCAGGUUUGUUACAACCCAAUCUAAUCUAAUCUACUAUUUCUACGGUCCUAUCACGACUACUCGGACUUUUAGUUCAGGAACAAACGACUUUACAACUUUAUAACUAAAUAUAAAUUGCUCAUAUUUUGUUUGUCCAUUUAAAUUGAGUUGAAAUUCAAAACCCAAUUUGUAAUUUGAAGUUUGUAAAUAAAAUAGGAAAAAUAAAAAGCAAGCAGGAAAUAAAAUGAAAAGAAGAAGAAGAAACUUAUUUGUUACUACCUGGGUUAGACAUGGCAAUAGGGACUCGAUCCCCGAUUUCCCGCGGGAAUUCCUCCAUUAGGGGAUGGGGAAGAAACUACCCUCGCGGAGAUAUAAACGAGGAAAAUUUAUCUCGCUACGGGUAAACGGGGAUGGAGAUGGCGAAGUAUUCCUCAUCCCCGUUCCCCGCGAGGACCCGUUAAACUUGCAUGUGACUAUGUUUUUGCGUACCAAUUAACAACAAAAAAUAAAAUAAUUAUCUUGUCAAGAAACCACUAAUUGUACAAAUGUGUUUAUUUUUAUAUAUGCAUAAUGAUUUCUUACAUCUGACAAUGUAUAAGUGACAAUGUUUAACAUAAAUAACAAAGAACGUAUGUCUUAAUUAUAAUUUAAACGGUGAUGAGGAUCUCGUUGAGAUUUAUCCCCGCGAAAAACGGGGAUAGAGAAGAAAUGUUUCCUGCAAUCGUUCGUGGGAACCCUCACGAGGAAAUUUUUUCGUCGGGGGAACGGGGAUGGAGAGCUAUUCCCCGGCGGGGAAUUCCCAGUUGUCAUCCCUAACCUCCCUAACCUGGGCCAGUUCUACCGCCGGCCCAUUAACCGCUUACGCCUGCCCAACCGAUCUCACCUCCCUCGCCGCCUCGCGUGUUAGCACCGUUGCAACCGACAUGCGGGCCCCACUGGUCGGACUCCCAGCGGCGCGGAUGUCUCUAAUCAGUCACUAGAGGGUGGGCCAGCUCGCUCAGUAACGGUCUCGCGCGCGGCGUGCGAGCGCGACAUGUCUUUAUUUCGUUGAUGUGUGGGACCAGGAUGCCAGGUUAUUCUUCCUCGGAUUCUUAGUAGAGUUAGUUACAACGAGUUCACCAGCAAGUAUGUGAAGGUAGGAACCAUAAGAAGAGCAGCGCCCGUCGAAGUGGUUUAUGGCAGCAUUUCGCCUGAAAUGAGGGAAGAAGUUAUUGAACCUAUUGUUGAGCCUGAGCCCGAGCCGCAUGACGACGAUGCACCAUGAAUAGGAAAAGCACAAAGACAUCAGUUCUGAUAGGAAGAUGAAAUGGAGGGCAGGGCACUGCUUAUAAUGUUCUAGAGGUAGUCAGAAUUUAGAAAUAAUGGAAAGCCCCGUACUUGUUACGUGGAUAAUACUGUCUAAAUUUAAACCAACAAUAGAUCUGUACUCUGUAGUAGGAUUGAAUUGUCGGAUAUGUACAUGUCAUCAUUCUUCUAUUUUCGUGAAACGUGUCACUUCCUGAUCUCUUUGCUCCACAAAUACGCAAGAACACUCUGCAUACUAAAUACUUUGGCUAACACACCAUAUGCUCAUUCCUUGCUUUCGAUCAACGCAGGAGUAACACACCUAAUUAUAUAUAUGUUUAAGAGAUCCUGAAUAAUUAUUUUUGAACAAUGAAAAGAGAUUGCAUGGAAAUUUUACUAUUACUAAGCUGACCUCUGUAAGGUUCUACAUCACCGAGUAACAAAUAAAUCUAUCGCUCCGGCGCAGCGAUUUCAGCUUAGCUAGAGCCACGAGCUGAUGAACUACGCAAUCUGGAAUUUCUCUGCCAGGUUUUUUUUGCCUGUCAGAUUUCGAAGCACUUCUUCGAGCUCAAUGCGUAUCGAGUCUUACAGAACAUGUACGAAUUUGAGUUCGCCAGCCUCUAGGCAAGGCAGCCUUGACCCCUUUGGAUGUCAGGAGUUAUUCCAGUUAAAUGAUGAUUCUCAUAUGCUUCAACGCGCUCAUACUCACAUGUAUAAUUUAUAAACUUCUAUGAACAUGCAUAUGCAUAUGCAAGGUCAACAUCUUCGAAAAUUGGGUCGAUAAUUUUUUAAGAUGGAAUUAAUGAACUUAUUAUUGACGUCUCACUGACGAUAAAAGUAUUUUUUAUCACUAUAAGCGUAAAAACCGUUAGAUCAUGAUAUAUUCGCUUAUAGAGGGAAUUUAAUUUUCGGAUGGCCAAAUUAGGAUGUACCGGCUCGCUGCUGCGUGCUGCCGCUUUUGGUUGUUCACGCUGUCAUGCAACACAUGAUUAAAAGGAAAGGCCCCACUCUCUUCGGUCCACAUAUCAACAACAAGCUCUGCCAUCUAUAUGACAUUUGUGCUAUUUAGCACCACACCACUUGCUCACAUGAGAAGACACCAGCUUAAAAAUCUAUUCCUCAAUGCCACACUCGCCGAGCAGCUAGUGACUGCUUGUAACCCGAGCGGGGGCAAUAAGGUGGUGUGGAUGCCAAUUGUGGCGCUUGGACCCGGGCCUGGUACUGCAAUCUGCGGCCCACCCGUUCCAAGUUGGUAGUUGGGUUGUGGCAGCUUUGGCGAAGGCCAUGGCGUCCCAACCUCUAGAACGGCGGACAAUGCGUGAGGCUGGUUUCACAGAGCAGCGAAUACCGUCCGCUUCCAACGGUGGAAGGAUAACGGGCCACUGCACUCCAGGCCCACCUAGGCCUAGGCGCUCUUUCUAGCAGACCACCA
rnacentral:lncRNA from 1 species